UAGCUAUGACUUUAAGGAAAGCGGGACUAUAGGUAUGAAGAUUAUUUGAAUGGUGCUGUAGCUGAACGGUCGGGUUACUCCAGUCGUGUAUCCUUGAAACACUUUAGAGAUGCACAGAAAAACUUUUAACUCUGGACAGUUGACCAUAAUAUAUAAUACAUGGACAGUUUGCGUAAUGGACGAUAUAUGCACAUUAACUCGUUUCAUUUAAUCAAAUGAAUGUCUUUGUUGAAGUAAAACAUCUUGACUUGGUU